UUUAAAUGGACCGGCUUAAGCUUUAUUUCUCCAUUACAAACGUUAGUAAUGUUGAAAGGACCGAUGCUUGGACUAUAACAAUAAUGGAAGACGAAGCAAUCGCUUGAGUCAAAAUCAAAAUUUUAAUGUUUAUUAACAUCACUACGCAAACACUACACAAGUAAGCAUUAUUACCUUGCCAAUCCGGAAACAGCUGAAAAGGAAUUGCAAAGGAAGAAAUUAACAGCGGAAGGCGGCGAUGACAUGGUGUCGGGAUAAUAAAAAUAAUUAUAAUUUUCUCCAAGCCGCAAAAUCUGUUGAUAAUAGCAUAGUUAAUGAAUUAACUGGCAAUUCAAUGCUCUUAUAUUCAA